UACGGGGGGGGCAAGCGUUGUUCGGAAUUACUGGGCGUAAAGGGCUCGUAGGCGGCCAACUAAGUCGGAUGUGAAAUCCCCAGGCUUAACUUGGGAACUGCAUCCGAUACUGGAUGGCUUGAAUCCGGGAGAGGGAUGCGGAAUUCCAGGUGUAGCGGUGAAAUGCGUAGAUAUCUGGAGGAACACCGGUGGCGAAGGCGGCAUCCUGGACCGACACUGACGCUGAGGAGCGAAAGCCAGGGGAGCAAACGGG
rnacentral:rRNA from 1 species